UUUCGUUUUGAAUAGUUGAUCUGCGAGGUGUGAGAAGUGUUGUAAUUGCUGAAAAUAUUAACUUUGAGUCAGAAAGGUUUAGUACAAAUAAAAACGCUGAAUAAAAUGUAGUUUCAACGACUUGAGAGAUUUUGAUUAAAUAAUCAGAAUCUGGGAUUUUGAAUACAAUUCAUAAUGAUGAUUGGCCUUGUGCCACGUGUUUUUCGGACUCUGAAAGGAUGUUUUCGGCGAUGUAAUAUCCGCAUGUAAUUGGAUGAAUUACUAGGAGGCAAUGGCCAGAAUGGAGAAGCUGCCAAUUUAUUCACAUCUGAUGUGAAUGUUGAACAUAUACCAUUUCGAAGACCCUACAAUUAAACGAUCGAAUGUCAUGCAAGAUGGGAACAGUAUCAUAGCAGAUAUUUGACCUUCAUACAUCAGGGCGGCAUCGACAAUAGACUUCUUCGCUUCUGUUUGGCUUGUUUGUGAAACAAAGCCCAAAAUGGCACAGCAUAUAAAGCUAUAUUGCCAGUUAAUUUUCGUUUAUAGUCCAAUGGACUUUACUUUUUGUGACUAACCGACGAUAAACUCGCAGCGCCACAAAAUUGGUCCACCACAGCACGAGUAAUUCGCCCAAUCAAGGUGAAAAAAGCGAAUUAUCUAGCACUCGGUGAAAACCAACAUGUCGACACGUUGAAAUUUUCACCGGAAGUGACCUUCAUACAUCAGGGCGGCAUCGACAAUAGAUGACUUUUUUCGCCAUCGAAAAUGUAGAAAAAAUAACAAAUAGGAAAUAAUACAAUGUUUGUUAACAUAAACAA